CGAACUCAGCAUGAGGAAAGCUUAGCUCAAAUAGAUUAAAUGUGAAAAAAAAAAAAAGAAGAUUAGAGGUGCACCUUCAAGACACAGGCAGUCCCCAUCUUCCUCUGCUCCCCCCCUGUAGUCACUGGACUGAUGAUCAGUGUCCUGAUGGAGGUACACUGGGACUCUGCGAGGUCAGAAAAAAGUUUGAGGACUACUUGAUCCACGUCUACUUCCUGUUUCUUUUUUUGUUCUUUUCUGAAAGCCUCAUUGGGGAAGGGACAAUCAAUGAUACCUUUCAGUUCAGUUCAUGGAACGUAAUAAUCAUUGUUACAAGCAAACUCCCUGUCUCUCAUCCUUCCUUCCUUCCCUCCUUCCCUCCCUCCUUCCUUCCCUCCAUACUUCCUUCCUUCCAUCCUUCCAUCCUUCCUUCCUUCCUUCCUCCACUUCCUCUUGCCUCUCUCCUUCUCUCCUUCUUUAUCUCCUUUUUUUCCUUGAUCUUCAUUUCUUUCCAUCCCGUAGUCAGUCUUUCCAAUGCUUUUCUUGUGCACAUUUUGUUUGCAGUUUUCUUACAAAAUGAGUAUUGCUGUUUUGUGUGCCUGUAUGUAAACUGCUGUAUGUUUUACCUUUUGCCCUUAAGCACCAUAGUCUUAAGAUGUAUUCAUACUGCUGUGCAUAUAUGGAGUCUACUGCUCUUAAUACUUACACUCUUGACGUGCAUACACCACACAGUCAUGGUGAUAGAUCUAUCACAAGUCCCUCCACCUUCCUGCCACCACAUGUAACGCUGUAAUGGACACCUUUGUACAUGUUCUCUUGGGUCUGUGUGAGGAACUCUUUGAAAUAUAUGCUGACAAUGGGAUGGCUGGAGUUUUCCAGUCUAAGAGGAUGUCUUCCCCAGAUCAUCCAAAACCACUCCAACUGUAUUUGCCACUCAAGGUUUUAUUUCCACGGCUUUAAAGAAGAUAAUGGUCUAACUUGGUGGGGACAUAAAUGUUUAGGUAUGUAUGUAUGUAUGUAUUCUUCUGUCACUCGUUCAACAGUUUACUGAAUACCUACUAUGGGUAUUUGAUGGUAUAAAGAUAAAAAUCCCAUCCUUCACCUUAGAUAGCCUUAUUACAUACUUACACUAUUUUUAG
rnacentral:lncRNA from 12 species